GAUGAACGCUGGCGGUAUGCUUAACACAUGCAAGUCGAACGGACUCUUCGGAGUUAGUGGCGGACGGGUGAGUAACGCGUGAGAAUCUGGCUUUGGGUUCGGGACAACCACUGGAAACGGUGGCUAAUACCGGAUGUGCCGAGAGGUAAAAGAGAAAUUGCCUGAAGAUGAGCUCGCGUCUGAUUAGCUAGUUGGUGAGGUAAAGGCUCACCAAGGCAGCGAUCAGUAGCUGGUCUGAGAAGAUGACCAGCCACACUGGGACUGAGACACGGCCCAGACUCCUACGGGAGGCAGCAGUGGGGAAUUUUCCGCAAUGGGCGAAAGCCUGACGGAGCAAUACCGCGUGAGGGAAGAAGGCUCUUGGGUUGUAAACCUCUUUUCUUAGGGAAGAACAAAAUGACGGUACCUAAGGAAUCAGCAUCGGCUAACUCCGUG
rnacentral:rRNA from 1 species